rnacentral:rRNA from 1 species
CGNGACGGGUGAGUAAUGCCUAGGAAUCUGCCUGGUAGUGGGGGACAACGUUUCGAAAGGAACGCUAAUACCGCAUACGUCCUACGGGAGAAAGCAGGGGACCUUCGGGCCUUGCGCUAUCAGAUGAGCCUAGGUCGGAUUAGCUAGUUGGUGAGGUAAUGGCUCACCAAGGCGACGAUCCGUAACUGGUCUGAGAGGAUGAUCAGUCACACUGGAACUGAGACACGGUCCAGACUCCUACGGGAGGCAGCAGCC